GAUGAAGAACGCAGCGAAAUGCGAUAAGUAAUGUGAAUUGCAGAAUUCAGUGAAUCAUCGAAUCUUUGAACGCACAUUGCGCCAGUCAGUACUCUGGCGGGCAUGCCUGUUCGAGCGUCAUUACGCCCCUCAAGUCCCCUGUGGACUUGGUGUUGGGGAUCGGCGAGGCUGGUUUUCCAGCACAGCCGUCCCUUAAAUUAAUUGGCGGUCUCGCCGUGGCCCUCCUCUGCGCAGUAGUAAAACACUCGCAACGGGAGCCCGGCGCGGUCCACUGCCGUAAAACCCCCCAACUUUUUAUAGUUGACCUCGAAUCAGGUAGGACUACCCGCUGAACUUAAGCAUAUCAAUAAGCGGAGGA
rnacentral:misc_RNA from 1 species